GUGGGGAAUAUUCCGCAAUGGACGAAAGUCUGACGGAGCAACGCCGCGUGAGUGAUGAAGGUUUUCGGACUGUAAAGCUCUGUUGUUUAGGACGAAAGUGCCUGUUGCGAACAGUUACAGGUAUUGACGGUACUAAACGAGGAAGCCACGGCUAACUACGUGCCAGCAGCCGCGGUAAUACGUAGGUGGCAAGCGUUGUCCGGAAUUAUUGGGCGUAAAGAGCAUGUAGGCGGAGAUUUAAGUCUGUUGUGAAAAUGCGGGGCUCAACCCCGUAUUGCGAUAGAAACUGAAUUUCUUGAGUGCAGGAGAGGAAAGGGGAAUUCCCAGUGUAGCGGUGAAAUGCGUAGAUAUUGGGAGGAACACCAGUGGCGAAGGCGCCUUUCUGGACUGUGUCUGACGCUGAGAUGCGAAAGCCAGGGUAGCGAACGGGAUUAGAUACCCUAGUAGUCC
rnacentral:rRNA from 1 species